rnacentral:rRNA from 1 species
GAUGAACGCUAGCUACAGGCUUAACACAUGCAAGUCGAGGGGAAACGACAUCGAAAGCUUGCUUUUGAUGGGCGUCGACCGGCGCACGGGUGAGUAACGCGUAUCCAACCUGCCCAUCACUUGGGGAUAACCUUGCGAAAGUAAGACUAAUACCCAAUGAUAUCCCACGAAGGCAUCCGAAUGGGAUUAAAGAUUUAUCGGUGAUGGAUGGGGAUGCGUCUGAUUAGCUUGUUGGCGGGGUAACGGCCCACCAAGGCAACGAUCAGUAGGGGUUCUGAGAGGAAGGUCCCCCACAUUGGAACUGAGACACGGUCCAAACUCCUACGGGAGGCAGCAGUGAGGAAUAUUGGUCAAUGGGCGAGAGCCUGAACCAGCCAAGUAGCGUGCGGGACGACGGCCCUAUGGGUUGUAAACCGCUUUUGAUUGGGAACAAGAGCGCCACGUGUGGUGCGUUGCGUGUACCUUUCGAAUAAGCAUCGGCUAAUUCCGUG